UUUCGGGCAUAGUGGCGCACGGGUGCGUAACGCGUGGGAAUCUGCCCCUUGGUUCGGAAUAACUCAGAGAAAUUUGAGCUAAUACCGGAUGACGACGUAAGUCCAAAGAUUUAUCGCCGAGGGAUGAGCCCGCGUAGGAUUAGCUAGUUGGUGGGGUAAAGGCCUACCAAGGCGACGAUCCUUAGCUGGUCUGAGAGGAUGAUCAGCCACACUGGGACUGAGACACGGCCCAGACUCCUACGGGAGGCAGCAGUGGGGAAUAUUGGACAAUGGGCGAAAGCCUGAUCCAGCAAUGCCGCGUGAGUGAUGAAGGCCUUAGGGUCGUAAAGCUCUUUUACCCGGGAUGAUAAUGACAGUACCGGGAGAAUAAGCUCCGGCUAACUCCGUGCCAGCAGCCGCGGUAAUACGGAGGGAGCUAGCGUUGUUCGGAAUUACUGGGCGUAAAGCGCACGUAGGCGGCUUUGUAAGUUAGAGGUGAAAGCCUGGAGCUCAACUCCAGAACUGCCUUUGAUACUGCAUGGCUUGAAUCCAAGAGAGGUGAGUGGAAUUCCGAGUGUAGAGGUGAAAUUCGUAGAUAUUCGGAAGAACACCAGUGGCGAAGGCGGCUCACUGGCUUGGUAUUGACGCUGAGGUGCGAAAGCGUGGGAAGCAAACAGGAUUAGAUACCCUGGUAGUCCACGCCGUAAACGAUGAUAACUAGCUGUCGGGGCACUUGGUGUUUCGGUGGCGCAGCU
rnacentral:rRNA from 1 species